rnacentral:rRNA from 1 species
CCUACGGGCGGCUGCAGUGGGGAAUAUUGCACAAUGGGCGCAAGCCUGAUGCAGCCAUGCCGCGUGUGUGAAGAAGGCCUUCGGGUUGUAAAGCACUUUCAGCGGGGAGGAAGGCGUUAAGGUUAAUAACCUUGGCGAUUGACGUUACCCGCAGAAGAAGCACCGGCUAACUCCGUGCCAGCAGCCGCGGUAAUACGGAGGGUGCAAGCGUUAAUCGGAAUUACUGGGCGUAAAGCGCACGCAGGCGGUCUGUCAAGUCGGAUGUGAAAUCCCCGGGCUCAACCUAGGAACUGCAUUCGAAACUGGCAGGCUAGAGUCUUGUAGAGGGGGGUAGAAUUCCAGGUGUAGCGGUGAAAUGCGUAGAGAUCUGGAGGAAUACCGGUGGCGAAGGCGGCCCCCUGGACAAAGACUGACGCUCAGGUGCGAAAGCGUGGGGAGCAAACAGGAUUAGAUACCCCUGUAGUC